GGGCUUGUGGCUCAGCGGUAGAGCGCUUGCCUCACAUGUGCAAGGCCCUGGGUUCGAUCCUCAGCACCA
rnacentral:tRNA from 1 species